GACGAACGCUGGCGGCGUGCCUAAUACAUGCAAGUCGAACGCAGUGGGGACGGGUGAGUAACACGUGGGUAACCUCCCAUCAGAGGGGAUAACACUUGGAAACAGGUGCUAAACCGAUAGCGAGGGGUGGACCCCGGGGUCAUGAGCUAGUUGGGGAGGUAACGGCUCAGCAAGGCCACGAGGCAUAGCCGACCUGAGAGGGGGAUUGGCCACACUGGGACUGAGACACGGCCCAGACUCCUACGGGAGGCAGCAGGAGGGAAUCUUCGGCAAUGGACGAAAGUCUGACCGAGCAACGCCGCGUGAGUGAAGAAGGUUUUCGGAUCGUAAAACUCUGUUGUUAGAGAAGCGGUAUCUAACCAGAAAGCCACGGCUAACUACGUGCCAGCCGCCGCGGUAAUAC
rnacentral:rRNA from 1 species